rnacentral:rRNA from 1 species
ACGAACGCUGGCGGCUUGCUUAACACAUGCCCGUCGAACGGAAAGGCCCUGCUUUUGUGGGGUGCUCGAGUGGCGAACGGGUGAGUAACACGUGAGUAACCUGCCCUUGACUUUGGGAUAACUUCAGGAAACUGGGGCUAAUACCGGAUAGGAGCUCCUGCUGCAUGGUGGGGGUUGGAAAGUUUCGGCGGUUGGGGAUGGACUCGCGGCUUAUCAGCUUGUUGGUGGGGUAGUGGCUUACCAAGGCUUUGACGGGUAGCCGGCCUGAGAGGGUGACCGGCCACAUUGGGACUGAGAUACGGCCCAGACUCCUACGGGAGGCAGCAGUGGGGAAUAUUGCACAAUGGGCGGAAGCCUGAUGCAGCAACGCCGCGUGCGGGAUGACGGCCUUCGGGUUGUAAACCGCUUUCGCCUGUGACGAAGCGUGAGUGACGGUAAUGGGUAAAGAAGCACCGGCUAACUACGUG